UGGGGAAUUUUGGACAAUGGGCGAAAGCCUGAUCCAGCAAUGCCGCGUGUGUGAAGAAGGCCUUCGGGUUGUAAAGCACUUUUGUCCGGAAAGAAAUCCUUGGCUCUAAUAAAGUCGGGGGAUGACGGUACCGGAAGAAUAAGCACCGGCUAACUACGUGCCAGCAGCCGCGGUAAUACGUAGGGUGCAAGCGUUAAUCGGAAUUACUGGGCGUAAAGCGUGCGCAGGCGGUUUGCUAAGACCGAUGUGAAAUCCCCGGGCUCAACCUGGGAACUGCAUUGGUGACUGGCAGGCUAGAGUAUGGCAGAGGGGGGUAGAAUUCCACGUGUAGCAGUGAAAUGCGUAGAGAUGUGGAGGAAUACCGAUGGCGAAGGCAGCCCCCUGGGCCAAAUACUGACGCUCAUGCACGAAAGCGUGGGGAGCAAAACAGGAUUAGAUACCCUGGUAGUCCACGCCCUAAAACGAUGUCAACUAGUUGUUGGGGAUUCAUUUCCUUAGUAACGUAGCUAACGCGUGAAGUUGACCGCCUGGGGGAGUACGGUCGCAAGAUUAAAAACUCAAAUGAAUUGACGGGGUCAUAGCUGUUUCCU
rnacentral:rRNA from 1 species